GUUCAAGAGAGAGCGGUGGCUGUUGUGUUGAGGAUUAUUUAGCGAAAUAUAUAAUGCAGGCCUGGAAGAAAGUGAACUGACAGCGCUGACAAAUUUCCGGAUAAACAAAUAUGAGGUUUACAGGGCUGGAGCAGAUCUACCGGAGAGGAGGAUGGCUGAGGAGUUUGGAGAGAUGAUAUGACUAACCUUUUUCCUUUAUUUAUUUGGACACAUCUGGUGUGUCCAAAUAUAAAGGGGGAAUUUAAGAGGUAAUUUGAAAUGAGUUCUAGGAUCAUUUUAUGACUUUUGGGGUUUUUGAUAAUUUAGAUAUGGUAAAACUGAGGCAGAAAUUGUCAUUUUUAAAUAGA